rnacentral:lncRNA from 1 species
UUGAAGAGAUCAAGAAAUUUUGCAUUUUUUUCAGUUUUGGCUCACAACCAUCUCAAGAUUCUUGGACAGAAAACUUCUUCAUGGUAGUUCACUUGUUACCUCAAAGGAAUGGAUUCAAAUGCCCAAGCCUAUAAAAUAAUGCCAAUAAAUCAAAAACAUUAUUGAAUAAAAAAUUGAAUCAUAUCAUAAUAAAAGAAAUAUUUACUAUGAAAGCCCAUGGAAAGCCAUAUAAGUUGACUGUCGUUGGAGUUAACGGAGUCAACAAAUAUUUGACAAUCAUUUUGAAGCUUUCAUAACCCCAAAGAUAGCUAUUAAAUGCCUCAAGAUCCUCGGAGAUCUUUAUUAAAACAAGUGGUACGUUGUUCGUCUCUCACCCAAAGAAUAUUAUAUACAAACCAAACUAAGCACAAUGAUUGUUUGUACUUUUUUGAAAGUCUUUUAUCUUUCGACGCUUCUAUCAAUUUUUUAUUUUUGAAGCCUGGAUCAACAAGGGACACCAGGUCAUCACGAUCACUUGACUUGCAUUUACCUUUUUUAGGUGUGCGGGCUGCUUUUUUUGGAUUAGAAUAGGUGUAAAUUGAGAAGGAGAAGGAAGAUAACAUUUCAGUCCAGUAACUAUGGCAAACUACUUCCAACCAAAAAAACAGGCAUGCCAUAGUAAUUUAUCCACACCUCAUCCAUCUUAUCUUUAUUUUCAUACAUAAGCCUAUGCUUGAGAAGGUCAUAUACUAUUUUUAUUUGGAAAUGAGCAUUGUUGUCCUCUGGCAAAUCAAGAUAUUGCCUAAAGCAGCUGUCCCAGAAAUAAGCAUUUAAAUUUUAUUCUCAAAGUAUUUUUCUAAAGGCGUCGAAAGAUUUUUUCAUGGCUGACUUAACCACGAAAUCACCCAUUUAAUCUGUGGCACCAUCACACUACAUUCUCACAAGAUAACUACCAAUGCUGAAGGUUUUGAGCACCUUUUCACUGGAAGGGCUAAUAGCAUUUGGAUCAUCUCUUUUGAAAUAUUCCUCCUCUCCAUGUUCAUUAUCUUCUACUUCUAAUUGAGAUAAUGCUUGUAAAGCAAGCUCAUAGAGUGGUGGAUGUAGCCUAGUGGCUUUGCUUAUUCCUUUACUUGGACUUGAUUCGAUUUCUUUUUUUUUUGGGAGCCAUAUAAUCUAAAAAUAAUAGGAACAAAAAAUAGAUUAUAAUUAAUUAAUACAUCAUUAAAAAAAGAUAACAAUAUAUCUAACAUGUACAAUAAUAAAAUAACAGUUCCAACAGAUGACACAUUUGUUGCACCAGGUAGGUUAUCUAUUGCAACAUAUAACUAACCAUUGUAAUGGAUGAGUAAUAUAUUACAAUAAUAAAAAUAGAUCAUUCAUCUACUGAAACAGAUGACUGGUCUGUGCAACAGGUCACACAUCUGUUGCAACAUAUGAAUGAUCUAUUGGAACUGUUAUCAAUUGUUAGUAUUAUUUAUAUUUCUUCCAAUAGAAGAGUCGUCUAUCACAACAAAUGAAUGAUCAGUUGAAAAAAAUCAUGUCUUGGACAUGUCCUAUUGGAAUAGUAUAGGAUUUUAUCCAACUGAAGGUUCAUCUAUUGCAUCAGAUGAUUAAUUUGUUAUAUUAGAUUUUUAAUCCGAUAGUUCCUUCAUUGAAUCAGAUGGUGAAUCUAUUGCAUUAGACGAUUAAUCUGUUGUAUCAGAUGGUUAAUUUGUUGCAUCAGAUUUUUAAUCAGAUGGUUCCUUUGUUGCAUUUGAUGAUAAAUCUAUUGCAUCUUAUGGUUAAUCUGUUGCAUCAGAUGAUUAACCUGUUGCAUCAGAUUUUUAAUCCAAUGGUUCCUUUGUUGCAUCAGAUUAUUAAUUUAUUGCAUUAGAUCGUAAAUCGAUUGCAUCGGAUUGUAAAUCUAUUACAUCAGAUAGUUAAUCUGUUGCACCGGAUGGUUAAUCUGUUGCAUCAGAAGGUUAAUCUAUUGCAGAUAAAAAAUAGUAGCAUGGUUUUGUUCAAAACAUCAAUACCACCAUUUUUACCUCGAACAAGAACAAAUCAACCCAACAACAGGCACAACACCAAAAACACCAACAUCAUUAUUUUGUUUGUACAAACACAAAAAACAAAAAUCAAACUUUAAAAACAGCACCAAACAAUAAAAAAUAAUAUUUCACUCCGAAAAGAGGAGAAGAAAUAUCAAAAAUUAGGGUUUUAUUCAGACCGCAUUUCAAAUUAAAGCAACAAUUAUUAAAAUUAUUAACCAAUACUAGAAGAGAAGUUGACUCAAGUUCCUCUUUUUCUUUAAAACUAAAAGGCCAUAAUUUUUUACCCGUGAAUAAAGAAAAGGGAAGAUGAAGAACUCGAAGCUGUUGUGGCCAGAGAGCAAGGUUGUCACAUCGAUUGAUGAUUGAAAGUCAAAAAGGAACUUGAAGCCCAACUAUUUAUCGCCUGAGGUUGGAGUCACCGGGGAUUGAAGGGAUAAAUUUGCAGAAUUGUUUGUUAGGAGAAACUGUCGAGAGAGAGAGGGGAGAGACAGUUGAUUUGGAGAGGAGAGGGGUGUGGGUUGAUUUUUAUUUUUGAAAAUAUUAGAAAGUUUUGAAAAUAUUAAUCAAGUUCACAAUUAGCCUAAUCAAGUUUCUUAAUUAUUUUUGACCCUUUAAGUUGGUCAAUGGCACCAAUCCUUCAUUCAAGGCUUAAAUGACACAUUUCCUUUAAUUUCUUAGGAAACUUGCCUAAAUAAAUCAUGUUUAAAAAAUAUUUAUCAUUUAUAGCUAUAUAAUUUUAAUAUAUGCAUACUUUUAAUACAUAGUGUAGAUUUUCGUAUCAAAAUAAGCAUAAUACAGACACUCAUAUUACAUCUAUAUUGCAUGCAUAAUUCAUUUUUAGUACAUAAUGUAAUACAUUUAUAUUGCACGUAUAAUUCAUUUUUAAAAUAUAGUACAUUUAUUUUUACCAAAAUAAGUAUAAUAUAUUUUAAUACACUUACUUUUAAUACAUAGUACAGUUGCUAUAGAUGAUAAAUAUUUUCUAAAUAUGGUAUAUCUAGAAAAUAAAUAACAAGUAUGUUUAAAAACAAUAAAUAUUUUAUAAAAAGUACUCCAGUAGGUCGUUUUUCCUAUUAGGAUUGUUAUAGAGUUGUACCUAUUUUCAGCUUUCUUAGAAGCUUUGUUUAGGUAUUUCUGAGAACAUUGUGUUCUUACUUUGCUGCAUUUCUUAGUUGACAUCAAAGUAAAAGGUAACAAGUAAUCUGAUCCACCACUAAGGUGAAAAUCAGGUAUAACUCAACUCACUCCGAUCCCUCUUGUGUUGUUAGGAUGUGUAGACUAUCAAAAGAGAUUGGAGAAAUUUUCUAACUGUUAUUGCCAAAUAAUGGUUCCAUUAACUUGGUCAGUCUCUAUGUAGUUUGGAGAAGUUUAUUUGAAUAGAAUGCGUAGGUAUAGUUUGUAUUUUCUUUAUGAUCGAGUUAUGUGUUUUCCUAACAAUUUUAUUGAAGUGUCUCACUUUCCUUGUAUGGGAUGUUCAUAAUGCUCACUUGAGGUCUCUGUGCAUACCUUGUAAAAUCGACCUUAAUUACUAUGGUUACAAAUGAAAAGGAGAGAGCUACGUCAACAAACUAGAAGGAUCACAAUAAAAUGGCUUCGGUCCUGAAACUUAUAUUCUAUGGUGCUUGAAAGCAAUCUGUUGUAUCAAAGAGUAGUGAUGCAAAAGGUACGAAUAUUUUGUAGGAUUUAGUAGAUGGAUGAUGAGCGAAUUGGAAAACCAUCAGCUGGUGCUCCAUCUACUUUACUGGAUCUUUUUCAGCAAUCUGGAACAACCUCGGUAUGGUGGAAUAUUGUCUGAAUUGGCCCAUGAAGGUUAUACUUAUGUCAGGAUAAUGAGGUGGUUGUUAAGCUGCCGUAGAUGUCAAAACCAAUGAUUAGAUCCUUCCCUAGUUUGUUGGAGCUGGGUAGUUUUGUUCUGUAGAGUACACCUGAGAAGAAUUCAAUCAUAAUCGGAUGACUCGUGAUCCCCCUAGUUAUGAGGACUCCUCCUUUCAAUGCUGUGUCAAAGGUCCAAAAGUGAGGAUUCCAUUGAUCGGUGGGGAUGAUGUCAAGGUUCAGUAUUGAGGCAGUUGCUUUAGUGUCCAUGAAGGUGAUGAAAUGAAAGGGCUUGUCCCAUCCUGAAGGAUAUGUGUUUCCAGCUCAGAGAUCAUGUUGAUACCUCCUGUGAGCAUGUUGAUCUCUUCCAUUAGUUUUGUUAACCAAUUGAAUUCUUCUUUACUGAUGGGUGAUAAUAUCUUCUCCAAGUAGUCAUUGAUAAUGAGGGCUGAGGUUGGCCAUCAAUAAAGAGAGAUAGAUUGUCCUUGGGAUCUUCUGCAUCUACAUUACAGACAGAUUUAGGAAUGCUGUCUGGAUUAGAAUGGAGAACCUCAUCUUUAAUCGGGUACUUGUCAGCCUUCAUUGUUUCUUCUGAGGAUGGAGCAUUUCUUUUUGCCUUUUCGGACUUAGGACAUGUUUUGGAAAAGUGUUUUUUUUCAUGGCAGAUGAAGCACUUUGCUUUGACUAAAUCCUUCUUUCUGGGGAAUCUGGCGUCAUUGUCGGACAUUAGUUCCUUAUCCGACGGUUUCUUCUUUCUGGCCCGCCUGUACUGCAUGUACCUUUUAUGCCUUGCCUAACAUUUUAAGAGAAGGGGAAACCCAUGUGGCUUAGUAUCUGGAUCAACAUGGUUGGUAGUAAUCACACUAGUAGUCUCAUCAGCCUCUCCAGGAAGAACAAGAUUCGAAUUAUAGUUUGUGAUCAUCAUGUUAGUCAGAUCAGUUGAUUGAGGAUGUUGUUGCACUUUUUCCUCCUCUGGGUUGACUUUAUUAAAGGCAAUAGGGGAAUUUAAAUAUUCCUCAAAAGGAUCACUAUGGAAUUGUUGAGGAGUAUAAUUCCUUGCUUUUGCUGUAAUGAACACUGAGGUGGCAUAUUCUUGCAUAGGAGGAUUAUCAGCCUAGAAGAAUUCUGGACAUGUGUGGUUUCCAUUAAGGAGUCAGUGAUCGAUACAAUUCCAAUCCCUAUCACGUGGAACUUCAUGUAGAAUCUGUAGGUCACUAUCUGGGACUAUAACAACCAGUUCUGCAAAAAUAUCAUUUUGUGGUGGAGCAAUAACCAUUCAGUCUAUCAUAUCAGCAUCAUGCGGGGCCUUCAUUCUUUUGACUUGUGUUUGUAUUCUUACAGCUUGUUGGCAGUCUAUCAUGACUUUUUUUUUUCUAUGUGUGUCUAGGAAGAUCAAAUCUUUGCCCAUCUUCUUGAGUCAGAUUGAGGAGCUCGAAAGUGGAUGAGCUUGAUGUAGAUGUGGAAAAAGGCUAGUGUAGCCUCUAUGGUGAUGUGGGAAGUAUGACAUAUGUUGGGAUAUUUUAUGGAUUUGUGAUGCCGUAUCUCAACAGGGUAAUAUGUUUUUUGAGUAAUGGCAUUUCUCUUCUUUGGUAGUCAAUGAAGGAUAGUACUGAGGUGUUUAGUGGACAGGUCUCAGACUGAACAAUCUGUCUCCUUUCUUCUAGCACCUUUAUGAGUUUAGCAUGGCCCGAAUCCCAGUAUCCAUCUUAAUCACUGGCUUCUUUAUAAGCUUCACAGCUACAGUUUCUAACCCAUAGGCAAUGUCUUGUGAAAGGACAUUUAAACCAGUGUACGUUGUAUCCUUCGUGGUUGAAUUGUUGAACCCAGUCAUUAUCUCUCAUGAAUCCUUCAAGUAAGCGCGAGACAUAUUCCAGAUCUAAGAUUUCUUCCUUAAAAUAAGUAUCAGAGGGGAUGAUCAUGCUAAUAGGAAGAGAUUCCUGGUGAGGUGUCACUUCAGACAAAGUUUGAAGACGCUGAGAAUAGAAUCUCAACCUCUUGUAACAAUUGACACAUUAAUCUAGAGUGACUUUGAGAAAUUCUUCCCUAGACACUUGGUUUGACAUCUAUACACCAAGGACAGUUCUUUGGGUAGUGUUUAUGACUAAGGAUAAAAAGGUUUGGUCUCCUGGCAUGGACAGAGUGUCCUCAUAGUUUUGUACUUGCCAAGCUGAUUGGAAAUGUACGGUUGGUUAUGUGCUAGCCUCUGGUGUUUCCAAGAUUUGGACUUGGAUCUUUAGUGCCUUGGUUAAGCUUGGAUCCAUAAGGGACAUGAUAAGGUUUGGAAAGAGAGUAACAACAAGUGUCCCAUCAUCUAGGAUAACAUGUAGAGUACCUAGAUUCACAUGUUGGUAUUUACAAAAUCUCAUAUCAAGGAGAGAAAGACAUGCCUUUAGUGGUUGUCGUUUUCUUCCAUGAUGCGUCAACGCAACACGAAUAGCACCAAAAUAGAUAUGGGUAUAAUAAUGAUUUCUCUACUCUUGUAGGAUGUUUUCUGGUAUCUGCAAAGUGAUGAAAUAGUCAUAUAGAGUCGUAAGGAUAUGCUGGUCAAAAGUUAUGGCAACAAAGUAUUCCUUAAAUCCUUUUGGCUUAUUCUGAUGCAAAGAAUCAAUAUGAAUCUAUAGAUUACAUGCUUUCUUGACAAAGGCAGAGUAGGGGUUAGGUAGAGGUAUAUAUAUGGAGUGUAUAUCUUGUUCAGGCUGUAGCACCUCUACUUCAAAGAGAUUGUUAUAUUUACAUGACAAAGUCUUGUGAGGGAAAGAAAAUAUGCUAGCUAAGGAAGAAACUGGUAUGGAGCAAACAAAGUAGAAGAAGUUGUAGAGAAAGACAUAUUUUUGUAUUUUUGGACUAUAAAGACUCGAUGUAUUUGUUCUAAGGCUCUAUGGAAAAGACUCAUUAAAAUAUAAAUUUUUUUUGUAUUUUUGUGGACUGACUAUAUAUAUUUGUGCUAAAGAUCUAAGGACAAGACAAAACAAAUAUUUGUUCUAAAAUCUAAGAAAAGAGACUACCACUCAAUUAUAUAUAAGACACAGAAUACAAUAAGUGAAAAACACUGACAUUAAUAAUGGAAAUGAAACUAUGACUUAAAUAUGUACAAGACUGUGAAAGUAAAACUGGAAAGUGAGAAGUGGUAACAGAUCUAAGAAUAGAAGCUAUGACAAAAUAAAAAUAAAAAUGUAAAGCUGGUUCACGUGGUUGCAAUUAGCAGAGGUGGAUGCAAAAUCUUACUUCCUCCCUCUCUCUGAGAGUGUGGAUGGCUCUGAUACCAAACAGACAGGGAGGCAGCGGGGCAUAGAGGACUGCCAGCGAGAGCAUCCAGGAGGCUAAAAAUAGACUCCAAACUUUCUAACAUGAAAAGUGGUUUCACGACUAUAUAGGCGACACACCAUAUGAAAUUAAAUCUUCUAUCAACACCACAGACACAGAGUCUAACCUUUCCAAUAUGAUAGGCCAUUCACGUCCAUAUAGGCGGCAAGUCAUAUGAAAUCAAAACUUUUAAUCUACACACCGUAACUUUCCUACGACUGAGAUACUCAUUCAUAAGGACGAUUUGAUUUAUCAACAAAGCCUUCACAAACCUGAACGGGAUGGCUUGGCUUUGAAACAUGAGCUACACAUUCAGAUGGUUUGCCUUUGUAACAAAGACUUCACAACCCUCAGUGGGACGGCAUGACUUUGUCAGUCUUAGAACACAUGAAUCCUUUAUAUCCUUAGUACAAGACUAUUUUGUAUAUGUCAUAAACGGGUCUUACAACAGCUCUCCCUGGUCCGUUUCCCUCAAGCAUCCACAGAAAAAAGGAGUACUAAGGCAGACCUAAGAUUUUCCUAUUGCCAUCAAUUCGAAAAGCUAUGGCAUGGACUAAGCCAAUUUCGUUUCAUAUACAUGGAAAUGACUUAGACAUCGCAAUAUGAAGCCAACUUCAUUUUAUAUUCAUAGAAAGUACCUUCGGAGUUCUAUGUUUCAGUCACAAUAAGCACCUCACCAAAGUAUUUCCUUACCCCACUGCUUCGACCUAAAGUACCAAAUCACCCAUCCCUUUGGAAGAGAGAAAGCAAGAGCAAGAGAUUUUAGCCAAUAAAUAUUUUUAUUGAAAAUAGAGAAACUAUAAAAAAGGUUUUUAGGUAGAGAGAAUGAUGCCAUCUGCCGAAAGGCCUAGGCUUCUUUUUAUACGAGAAAAAAGCUUACUAGAUAAGCCACUAAGGAGGGUUUCCUUAGAGAUGAGGGUAACUUACUGGAAAGGGUAACCCGCUGGAGAGGGUAACCUGCUGGGAAGGGUAACCCACUGGAGAGGGUAACUUCUUACACAUGUCAUUUGACGUCAUCUUUAAGGUAGUGUUGGAUGGUGCCGGCGGCGAUGAGCUUGCGUAUCUUUCUUCCAUAUACCAAUCUACUCUGUGCUUGAUGAAUAGUCAUAUAAGUCUGAUGGCUGGCGUUGUUUCCUUCUUCUCUAUCGGUAGACAGUUUUUUGAAGAGAAUUCCUUCGGCCUUGAUAGGAAGUCUUCCAGGAUGUUCUCCUUUACCUUAAUGUGUUUUACUCUAAAUUUAUAGGGAGAAAACCAUUGAGACCGUCGAAAAAUCUACGAAUUUGGGAUAAUCUUUAGAUGUAGCUGGACCAUUUUAGGAAAAGCCCGCUAGAUCUAAAAUUUAGUGUAAAUAAGGAAUAAGUUAAACUUCUUGAUUCCAUUCUUCACAACAAGAAUUUCCUUGAAGGUGGAAUGAUAGUGUUGUUCUGUCUCUUUGAAUUUUCCACUUACCUGUCUUCAUACUUUUCACUGGUCGUCUUUUUCUUUAAGGAGAACUGCACUCCAAUAGUGGUUGCUAGCAUCAGUCUGCAAUAUCAUCUGUUCGUCUAAUAGGAUAUAGAGUGUCUUGACAUUGCUAGAGAUUCCUUUGAUUUUUCGGACUGCAUCACCCUGCUCUUUUCCCAGGCUGGAGCAUUUUUCUUUAGUAUCUUUGUGAGUGGGGAGAUAUAGGUUGAGACAUCAGGGAUAAAGUCUCUGACAUAAUUAAUCACGCCAAGAAACUGCUCGAGCUGCUUAACUGAAAAGGUAGUAUUUGGAAACUUAAGCAAUUCUUGGAAGAUAUGUGGUCCAGGAGUGUAAGAGCCAUAGGCAAAAUGUAUUCCCAAGAAAUCAAUCUCAUCUCGCACGAGGGUCAUCUUUUUUGCCGAUGGUACGCCAUGCUACUUUAACAAGUCAUGGAAUUGGCGGAGUAGAUCAAGGUGCUCAUCUAUAGUGUUGCUGAAGAGCAGUAUAUCAUCGAUGUAGACCAAUGAUGUAUGGAAGAUGGGAUUGAAUAUUCUGAUCAUGGCCUUUUGGAAAAGUAAGGGGCAGGUUUGAGCCCAAAUGACAUAACUUUCCACUGGUAGUAGUGAUCGGGUAUAUAGAAGGACGUUUUGGCUCUAUCUUCUGGGUGUAUGCCCAGCUUGUAGAAUCUAGAUUUAGGGUUGAAUUCGACUAAUUGCAUUCCACCUUUAUUCUUCUUCUUCUUCUUCUUAUAUGUAAAUAGAAGGUUCUCCAAAUUGGGAGAUCUCCUAAGAAUUCUUAGAAGGGAAAGUAUUUGAUCUUCAUCAUCGAAAUCGAACUAAAUGGUGUGACAACCCUUAAGUUGUUGAGGCAUGUGGUGAGGCUCUCGUCUUCAAUACAAGAAGCAAAAGACUUUAGGUAGUGAAUGUCAAGAAUAAAAUGAAAAACUUCAGGCCAGCUAUUGAGUAGAUAUGUCCAGUUCAUCGGUCUAUCUUCGUGGUGUUUGUUUACUACAAGUGCAACUCUUUUCAGCUUCCUAGAGUCUAUGAAAUGGCCCAACUCAAGCGUUUUAGCAGUAUUUAUAAGAUAGAAUAUUGAGAGUUUUGGUGCAUAUAUUUUUAAGUGGUCAAGUCCUAUGGACGUCCCAACUAGCAGGUGUCACUAGGUUUGGCAUCGAUAAGUAAGAAGCUUUAAUGCCGUCUAAUUCUAGGGUGAGUUUAACUAGUAUAAGCCUUUUGAGCUUGUGGAAACCCCUGAAGCUGCAUGGUGUCCUGAAAAUGCAGUUGAACAGGAUCAACUUUUCUAAUUCUACAGAGUACAUGUAGGACGACAAUUUAUAAGUAUGAUUGUUCAUAGUCUGAAGGGUGAGAUCCUUAAGUCAGUUUCUCGACAACAAUAACAUCCAUUGAUCAAUAAUAUAGUGUUGAGAGUGAGAUAUUGAUGAAAUACCCAGGAGGAAUGUCUUAAUGGCUCCAUCGUGUUGUGACAAAAUUUUACUGACGAUCUCUAUUAAUUUUUGCUGUAACAAAAUAUUACUGAAGAUGUCUAUUAAUUUGUUCGAUGACUUGUUGUUGGUGUAAUAUACCACAUUUACAAUAAAUGAUUACAGUUGAAAAUAAAAUGAAUAAAAGUGAAGAAAAUAAAAUAAUCUUCUUCUUGGCUGAGGCGUGGAUAUCUCAUUUUCUUUAAGGAGAUUCAAGCCCACUGCAGCAUAAUCUACACCGAUCCAACAGUAUAUCUCGUGACUUGUCCCCUCCAGGAUACAACAACCCAUCAACAAUGUACAACUCAAACAACUCUGGAUUAGUUGAAGAGUCCAAAGCUCCACCAUAAGAGCAUCUUCCUUCAACAUAUAUUUACUCUCUUUGUAUAGUGAAUAUAGUUAAAGACAAAUUAUUUUAUUUAUCUUAACUCUUUCUUUCACUAAUAUAAUAACUCUCAUUUGUAAAGUGAAUAUAGUUGUAGACUUAGAAUAUUUUCUUUGUCUCAACUCUCUCUUUCACUACUACACACUAUAAUCUUUUUCACACUUAUCAUAUUUUCUAGUCCAUGCAUUAUAACAUGCAAGACCACCUCUAUUUAUAGGUGAGGUAUUCAUCCUUGUAUUGAAUAAGAAGAAUGCGGUGUAUUAAAGUGGGUACAUAAAUGGUUGGAUAUUACAUGAGUUAUAAGCAUAAUUACGUAAUAUAAUGGGCAAAUAAAUACUUAGUGGUUAUAGGAGUUUUAAGAAACUCAUGACCACUGUCUUCCACUAACAAAUGUAAGUAAUAUACUCAUAAUACACAAUUUAUACCCACUAAUAUAUACACUUAAUAUAUUAAUUUAUAAAAUACAUAUACACCAAUAUUCCCCCACUCAUUAUAAUAUUAAAGUAUGAGAGUUCACUAAUUUAGUUGAAGGGAGACUAUUAUACAUAAUGAAGGUGUGCUCUGCUUUGAACCUUCACUUAGUAAAACAGUAACAUUUACUCUAGAGUUAGUAGUGGUGCCAUAAUUGAACUAUGACUGCUUAAGGGAAAUAAAGUAUUACUGCUUAUACACAAUAAUAAAAGUGUUGACAUAAGCUUUAAUAGGCAGCACAUUACGCCAUGUGCUAGCCCAAUUUUUCAUGAGCGUUUUUUGAGAAUAAGCCUCAUUCUCAUAGGAAGUGGCCUACUUCCACACUCAUUUAGGUGAAAUCUUUCAAGGGUGGUCCUGUAAUUUCGACACCCCACUCAUAAGAGAUACAAAAUUUCAUUAAGAGUUCUUAGACUCAACCUUCACAAAUCAUUACAGGAAUAAAAUGCACUCACAUCAUAGGAAGAAUUAAACAAUAGUGCAUCUCACACCAAGUCAUUAUAUGAUUCGUUCUUCCCCUUGAACUUGGUUAUAGGAUCUCUAGUCUCCAAGUUGGGUUUCCAUAUAUAUAACUCAUGAUAUUUUUUAUAGGCUUUCUUCCUCCCCCUCGAUGUAAUUCAGACUAUUUUCUUGCUAAGGCCUUAGUUUUGAAUCUGCAAGAUUAUCACAAAGUUAACACAAUUAAUAUUGGUAUACCAUUGAUCAAUAUGAUCUCACAAUAUUGUGUUUUUCUCAUUAUGGUCUGAAUUUUCUAUUAUAAAAAUGGUUUAUACUCUAUCAAUAAAUUUUUGGUGCUAUCACAUAACUCAAUAUUAGAGAGAUCAAUUUCUCAACAUAAAGUGAUUGAUCAAUUAACUUUUUCACUAGUUGAAGCUAAAAUAGUUAUUUCAACCUCCAUAAUGAGUUAGCAAAUCAUAAUUUAUUUCUCAUUAGUAAAUAGCACCACGUUAUUUUUUUCCUCAUUUUGCAUCAAAAACACUUUUAAGUACAACAAGCCACAAACUUUUUCUUUAACCAAGUAAAUAUACUUGAUUUGCUUGUUUAAGUACUUUUACAUAACUUCAUGCCAAGUGAAACUAGCCACAUAUUUCAUAUUUCAUUAAGCUAGUAAAAUCUUUUUUUUUUUCACACCACUUUCACAUAUUUGAAUCAAAAGAAGUUGCAUGACUAAUAUAAUCAACAAAAUGUAUUUCACAAUUUUUAUUUUUUACCAUAAUGUGACAUGUCAAGAAAAAAUUCAUCAAAUAAUUUAGGUAUUUUUCAUUCCAAGAAUGAAAUUUACCUCACCCAAUGUCAAAUGGCUACUCAACAUUUUUACUCUUUCUUUGAUAACAUGCUAGAGCCAAAUAUAAAGACGUCACGUUAUAUACAAAUUAAUAAUGACAUGUGAUUUACUCCAACAAUAAUUAUGCACUUAUAACACUUUUUUAACUCAUUCUCAAAAGUAAAAAUGUCACAAUUUUGUGGUGAUUUUUUCUCAUUUCAUUAGCCCCCACUAUUUUGAGCAUUUGAAAUAUCACUUAUGUUUAUAAAAAGUAGUAUAGUUUUAUUCAAAAUAAAAUAUUAGGUAAUUUUUUUUACCUUUUCUCCGCAACAAGUAGAAUUUUUUUUACCUUUCAUCCCCUUGAGUUGAGCAAGUAUUUUUAUCUUUCAUCCCCUUGAGUUGAGCAAAUAGAAAGAUACUUGUUAUCUCUUGCCAUCUAUCUUUUGAGAUCUCUCAUCUCGAUAUCCAUGAUUUUGUAAACAAUACCAAAACAUGAAUCUCCUUAAAAUUGUUGGUGUAAUAUACCACAUUUACAAUAAAUGAUUACAGUUGAAAAUAAAAUGAAUAAAAGCAAAGAAAAUAAAAUAAUCUUCUUCUUGGCUGAGACGCGGAUAUCUCGCUUUCUUUAAGAAGAUUCAAGCCCACUGUGACAUAAUCUACACCGAUCCAACAGUAUAUCUAGUGACUUAUCCCCUCCAGGAUACAACAGUCCAUCAAUGAUGUACAACUCAAACAACUCUGGAUUAGUUGAAGAGUCCAAAGCUCUACACCUUCCUUCAACAUAUAUUUACUUUCUUUGUAUAGUGAAUAAAGUUAAAGACUUAGAUUGUUUUCUUUGUCUCAACUCUUUCUUUCACUAAUAUAAUAACUCUCAUUUAUAAAGUGAAUAUAGUUGUAGACUUAGAAUAUUUUCUUUGUCUCAACUCUCUCUUUCACUGCUACACACUAUAAUCUAUUUCACACUUAUCAUAUUUUCUAGUCCAUGCAAUAUAACAUGCAAGACCACCUCUAUUUAUAGGUGAGGUAUUCAUCCUUGUAUUGAAUAGGAAGAAUGUGGUGUAGUAAAGUGGGUUCAUGAAUAGUUGGAUGUUACAUGAGUUACAAUUAUAAUUACAUAGUAUAAUGGAAAAAUAAAGACUUAGUGGUUAUAGGAGUUUCAAGAAACUUAUGACCACAUUCUUCCACUAACAAAUGUAAGUAAUAAUACUCAGAAUACACAAUUUAUACCCACUAACAUAUGCACUUAAUAUAUUAAUUUCAUAAUAAAAUGAAUAUACACCAACACUUACUGGGGCAAAACUGAGAAAAUAUGAGGUUGGGGAUUGAAGCCCAAACGUGUCUCUACAAUUUACACAAAACACUCAUUUUUGCAGCUUCAUCAAUAGUCAAAUUCUCCUGAAUUUGGUGUUUGACAUUAAUGGGAAGAUUUGUAACUCUAUCAAUACGUUCGCCAGCUUCAAUUUUGAGUCCCUUAGAGGGAUCCAUUAGUGUGACUUGAGAGUUGUUAUAGAAGGCAAGGCGUGUAUGAUAUAUGAAUGAGUAGAUAGACUCCUAAUUGACUUUAAAUAGGGUUGGGACUUUUAGUCUACAAAUAAUAUCAUGGCAUUACUGUUAAAAGGGUCAUAAGGUAUGCAGUUUUUCUUUUCUAUUUUUCAUUACAUGGGUCUUUUUAUUUUUUGUUUUGGGGGAGGAGAGUGUGGAGAAGUUGUGGGAUUUGUGUUAAAAGGUGGAAUUGUAUGAAUUUGAGUUAUGGGUUUUCUUUUUUAUUUUGUUGUUGUUUGCAAAGAAAAUUUUUUGUGUAAAGAAGCAACAAUUUGAACAGGCACGACACCAACAAGAAUUUCGCUUGAGUUAAAAGGAUAUGUUGAAUUAAGGGUCAUGGGUCGCUCAUGUGACCCGAACCAACCCGACUCGACCUAGUUUUUUAAUUUGUUUUUGAAUUAUCUGACAAAAUAAGGGGAAAAAGAAGAGAUAAGUUUAAUUUUAAAACUUGGGGGGAACGGUUACUGUUCCACUUUCCCAAUAUAUUACCACUUCUUUUCCUAUGUAAAAGUCAGAAAAACAGUAACAAAAGGCCAAAUGGAAAACAACAACAAGGCAGUGAAACUUUAAGGCAUUUAGUUUGUGAUUCUAUAACUUUGUUUCCAAGAGAUUCAAAGAAGACGUGGGGCAGAUCUUUUCGGUUGCAAAAUCAAAUUCCGCUGCAAGUUUAAGGUACACACUGAUUUAUGUUUUUGCUCCGAAUAAACUAACAAUGGCAUCAGAGACGGGUUUAUUGCCCCGUUUUUACAUGUUAUUUUUUUAAGUUUAAGAGAAAUUUAUGUAUGAACAUACCUGUGAGAAAAUCUUGAUUAUUGGUUGUAUGAAUUUUUGGAUCUGAUUAGAAGCGCCGCCAUGGCGGGUUUUUUUUUGGCGGAUCCUGUUAGAUGCCUGUCAAACGCGUCGCUAAAAUCUGGUUGGACGCACCCCAAUUCAGAAAGACACAUCAAUUUUUUUUAUUUGACCUUUCACUUUAAUUUGCUGUUGUGAUUGUUAUGGUUUCAAAUGCUAUGAAGCACUUUUGUAAUUUUUAAGAACAAAAAAAAUAAAAAAUAUAAGGUUUGAUUUAUGCGGCUUCAGAAGAAGGAAAGAAAGCUGCUCCCCUUUUGUUUUUUUCUUUUUAUAAGAAAUAGUAAAGUUUUUGUUUGACUUUAAGAGAGAAGUACUUUUGAG